rnacentral:rRNA from 1 species
GGGUUGUGAGGUUAAGCGACUAAGCGUACACGGUGGAUGCCCUGGCAGUCAGAGGCGAUGAAGGACGUGCUAAUCUGCGAUAAGCGUCGGUAAGGUGAUAUGAACCGUUAUAACCGGCGAUUUCCGAAUGGGGAAACCCAGUGUGAUUCGUCACACUAUCAUUAACUGAAUCCAUAGGUUAAUGAGGCGAACCGGGGGAACUGAAACAUCUAAGUACCCCGAGGAAAAGAAAUCAACCGAGAUUCCCCCAGUAGCGGCGAGCGAACGGGGAGCAGCCCAGAGCCUGAAUCAGUGUGUGUGUUAGUGGAAGCGUCUGGAAAGGCGUGCGAUACAGGGUGACAGCCCCGUACACAAAAAUGCACAUACUGUGAGCUCGAUGAGUAGGGCGGGACACGUGGUAUCCUGUCUGAAUAUGGGGGGACCAUCCUCCAAGGCUAAAUACUCCUGACUGACCGAUAGUGAACCAGUACCGUGAGGGAAAGGCGAAAAGAACCCCGGCGAGGGGAGUGAAAAAGAACCUGAAACCGUGUACGUACAAGCAGUGGGAGCACGCUUAGGCGUGUGACUGCGUACCUUUUGUAUAAUGGGUCAGCGACUUAUAUUCUGUAGCAAGGUUAACCGAAUAGGGGAGCCGAAGGGAAACCGAGUCUUAACUGGGCGUUAAGUUGCAGGGUAUAGACCCGAAACCCGGUGAUCUAGCCAUGGGCAGGUUGAAGGUUGGGUAACACUAACUGGAGGACCGAACCGACUAAUGUUGAAAAAUUAGCGGAUGACUUGUGGCUGGGGGUGAAAGGCCAAUCAAACCGGGAGAUAGCUGGUUCUCCCCGAAAGCUAUUUAGGUAGCGCCUCGUGAAUUCAUCUCCGGGGGUAGAGCACUGUUUCGGCAAGGGGGUCAUCCCGACUUACCAACCCGAUGCAAACUGCGAAUACCGGAGAAUGUUAUCACGGGAGACACACGGCGGGUGCUAACGUCCGUCGUGAAGAGGGAAACAACCCAGACCGCCAGCUAAGGUCCCAAAGUCAUGGUUAAG